CGCGGCCUAUCAGCUUGUUGGUGGGGUAGUGGCUUACCAAGGCUUUGACGGGUAGCCGGCCUGAGAGGGUGACCGGCCACAUUGGGACUGAGAUACGGCCCAGACUCCUACGGGAGGCAGCAGUGGGGAAUAUUGCACAAUGGGCGGAAGCCUGAUGCAGCAACGCCGCGUGCGGGAUGACGGCCUUCGGGUUGUAAACCGCUUUCGCCUGUGACGAAGCGUGAGUGACGGUAAUGGGUAAAGAAGCACCGGCUAACUACGUGCCAGCAGCCGCGGUGAUACGUAGGGUGCGAGCGUUGUCCGGAUUUAUUGGGCGUAAAGGGCUCGUAAGUGGUUGAUCGCGUCGGAAGUGUAAUCUUGGGGCUUAACCCUGAGCGUGCUUUCGAUACGGGUUGACUUGAGGAAGGUAGGGGAGAAUGGAAUUCCUGGUGGAGCGGUGGAAUGCGCAGAUAUCAGGAGGAACACCAGUGGCGAAGGCGGUUCUCUGGGCCUUUCCUGACGCUGAGGAGCGAAAGCGUGGGGGGCGAACAGGCUUAGAUACCCUGGUAGUCCACGCUGUAAACGGUGGGUACUAGGUGUGGGGUCCAUUCCACGGGUUCCGUGCCGUAGCUAACGCUUUAAGUACCCCGCCUGGGGAGUACGG
rnacentral:rRNA from 1 species